UCUAUAUAGUGUUAAUAAAGCACAGUAAGCCUUCUACUUAUUAGUCUCUUGAAAAGAGUAUAGAUU
rnacentral:tRNA from 1 species